rnacentral:rRNA from 1 species
GAUGAACGCUGGCGGCGUGCCUAAUACAUGCAAGUCGAGCGAACAGAUAAGGAGCUUGCUCCUUUGACGUUAGCGGCGGACGGGUGAGUAACACGUGGGUAACCUACCUAUAAGACUGGAAUAACUCCGGGAAACCGGGGCUAAUGCCGGAUAACAUGUUGAACCGCAUGGUUCUACAGUGAAAGACGGUCUUGCUGUCACUUAUAGAUGGACCCGCGCCGUAUUAGCUAGUUGGUGGGGUAACGGCCUACCAAGGCGACGAUACGUAGCCGACCUGAGAGGGUGAUCGGCCACACUGGAACUGAGACACGGUCCAGACUCCUACGGGAGGCAGCAGUAGGGAAUCUUCCGCAAUGGGCGAAAGCCUGACGGAGCAACGCCGCGUGAGUGAUGAAGGUCUUCGGAUCGUAAAGCUCUGUUGUUAGGGAAGAACAAAUGUGUAAGUAACUGUGCACAUCUUGACGGUACCUAACCAGAAAGCCACGGCUAACUACGUGCCAGCAGCCGCGGUAAUACGUAGGUGGCAAGCGUUAUCCGGAAUUAUUGGGCGUAAAGCGCGCGUAGGCGGUUUUUUAAGUCUGAUGUGAAAGCCCACGGCUCAACCGUGGAGGGUCAUUGGAAACUGGAAAACUUGAGUGCAGAAGAGGAAAGUGGAAUUCCAUGUGUAGCGGUGAAAUGCGCAGAGAUAUGGAGGAACACCAGUGGCGAAGGCGGCUUUCUGGUCUGCAACUGACGCUGAUGUGCGAAAGCGUGGGGAUCAAACAGGAUUAGAUACCCUGGUAGUCCACGCCGUAAACGAUGAGUGCUAAGUGUUAGGGGGUUUCCGCCCCUUAGUGCUGCAGCUAACGCAUUAAGCACUCCGCCUGGGGAGUACGGUCGCAAGACUGAAACUCAAAGGAAUUGACGGGGACCCGCACAAGCGGUGG